GAUGAGAUAGGAGAACUCAAGCAACCGUCCGUGGUUGGUAUCAUGUCUGUCGCGAGCGCGACGAGGACGUUAAAGCGUUGUACCAUGCAUAAGAGAGAAAGAGAUAAACGUAUAGAUAGACGGAGAGAGAGAGAGAGAGAAAGUGCGAGCAAGGUGGAAGAGAAGGACGGAGAUAGGAGUCCGCGCGGACUGCGGUCGGACCGUUAGGGAGAUCGGCCAAUGAGCGCGCUCCAGCGACCAAUCACGAUCGAGCUCUCUCGUCUCCGUGCAACUAAUAUACCGUCUUCUCUCUCUUAACCGGGCCAGUCGGAGCUGAACCACGUAAGGAGGUAGGGCCUUUUGUCUCCUCGCGGAGCCGUGAAUACACGCUACGUACAUACACACAAUGGCUCGAGCCGCGCUGCCACCAGAAGCGACCGGUAAAAGGCUAUAUGCGGACCUUCUCUCUCUCUCUCUCUCUCUCUCUCACUCGUUCGAGCGCGCAUGCGCACACGCCGUGAGAGACAGGUGAGAAAGUACCGGCAGUAGAGCGUGUGUACCAUCGCGCCGGUACAAAAUUCGGUAUUAGCACGGCCAUAACGCGCGGUUUCCAAAUGAGGUUCGAGAGGGCAUCCAUCUCGCCGCAAAAUCCACCGCCGACGAGACGGUCCGCGUACCGUUCGCGUUUUGUUGCUCGUUGCUACCACUGCGAGCUUUUCGAUAUUUCCUUUCUUCGACGUUGUUAUUUACGCGCGAAUUCCGCGUCGUGUUUUCACGCAGUCGGCUUCCCGCAUAUUUUUCCCGUUUCUCCUGUCCAACAAGAGCGGCUCGAUAACAAGUUACAUAGAUACAUCGUCGUUUAUAAAAAGGAACAUAAACCCUUGUCUCUGAGUCGUCUACUACCUUUCUCCUGCAAAGUUAGAUAGCCGAGAAAAUCAGGUCAGGAUACAUCGGGAAACGUGUACGGAACAAGCACGUAUCGGCUCGGCCCGUUAUCCGGCUACCAUCGUCGAGCAGCGCAAACAGGUUACGAAGCUCGAUGGAAAUAGAGACGAUAGACAUGAAGAUGGAGGGAACGAAAGGGGAGCUUUUCUAUCUCCGUCCUUGCGUUCGGAGAACUAUAAAGAGCAGAGCGAGAAACGGUUGGGGUCAGCGUGAUGUAUGUGUAUAUAAGCGAGGUGCAACGCUAACUCAUCGUUAUCACGAAACUGCUUGCCCAUUAUUUUCCCCGAUGACGUCGAGCCGAGGAGUCUCGUAAUGUCUCGUACGUGCGUGUUCUCGUGCGUGGGCGUGCUACGAGUUGCAUCGGCCGCUAGGCGAACCAACAGGGCCGUCGACAGGCUCUCGACGUUGUGCCUUCGUUGUAACCUUCUGAUAAAAGAGAUAAAA